AUUGAACGCUGGCGGCAGGCCUAACACAUGCAAGUCGAACGGUAGCACAGAGAGCUUGCUCUCGGGUGACGAGUGGCGGACGGGUGAGUAACGUCUGGGAAACUGCCCGAUGGAGGGGGAUAACUACUGGAAACGGUAGCUAAUACCGCAUAACGUCGCAAGACCAAGGUGGGGGACCUUCGGGCCUCACACCAUCGGAUGUGCCCAGAUGGUAUUAGCUAGUAGGUGGGGUAAUGGCUCACCUAGGCGACGAUCCCUAGCUGGUCUGAGAGGAUGACCAGCCACACUGGAACUGAGACACGGUCCAGACUCCUACGGGAGGCAGCAGUGGGGAAUAUUGCACAAUGGGCGCAAGCCUGAUGCAGCCAUGCCGCGUGUAUGAAGAAGGCCUUCGGGUUGUAAAGUACUUUCAGCGGGGAGGAAGGCGGUGAAGUUAAUAGCUUCACCGAUUGACGUUACCCGCAGAAGAAGCACCGGCUAACUCCGUGCCAGCCGCCGCGGUAA
rnacentral:rRNA from 1 species